UGCCAGCAGCCGCGGUAAUACGGAGGAUCCAAGCGUUAUCCGGAAUUAUUGGGUUUAAAGGGUCCGCAGGCGGUUUGUUAAGUCAGAGGUGAAAUCCUACCGCUCAACGGUAGAACUGCCUUUGAUACUGGCAAACUUGAGUUAUUGUGAAGUAAUUAGAAUGUGUAGUGUAGCGGUGAAAUGCUUAGAUAUUACACAGAAUACCGAUUGCGAAGGCAGAUUACUAACAAUUAACCGACGCUCAGGGACGAAAGCGUGGGUAGCGAACAGGAUUAGAUA
rnacentral:rRNA from 1 species